CAGGAAAAGCCCACCCUGCAAACGCAUUGGCGAACUCUCCCCAUAACAUGCUGUCCAUUCUGGGUUCCACAUAGUUCUUAAACCAUUCUCUGGCUUUCUUGCAUUUUAAUGUGAAACCUGCCAUCUCAAUGGCUCUCCUAUCAUCUGCUCCCAACUCACUAGUUAUCAUCCUAACUGCUCUGAGGUAAUCAAAUGGAUCAUCUCCCGUGUUAUAUUUAGG
rnacentral:lncRNA from 1 species